UUUAGAAAGACUGAUGACUUCCUCAUCCAGCUAUAAAGAUCAUCAUUUUGAAAAUGAGCCUUGAAUAGUUUGGGGGGAAAAUAGCUGUUGUCUCUACCAGCUAUAAGAUUCCUGGAAUAAGGCCAAUCAGAAUGGAAGAGCCGGCGACAAGCACUCUCAAACCCAACAUGGAUUCUUCUGUAGUCUGCUUUAUCAUUUUUGCUCCUCCACUCUCACCACCCCCUUUGAUUUUUUCCAGAACUGACCUGAAAUAGACCUUGGACCUUUCACCGAACACUGUUUUAACUGAAGAGAAGUCACUACAGGAUCCCACAGGGAAGAGUAAAACCCAGGAAGAAGACACACCUGCCUUCAGGAACCAACCAACCAACAACAUUAAGUUGGAAGAUCACCUCUACACUGGUCUCCAAUCUAUAGAAAUUCUCACCCUGGUACACACAGAUACAUGUGCAAGGAUGUUGACUGUGAAACAAUUUGCGCAAGACCUGGAAACAACUUUCCAUCAGGGGGGAAUAAGGGCAGCACAACAUACACAUGGUACCUUAACUUGGGAGCGAAUCUCAGGACAUUACAG